CGGACACUUUGUCUUAUAUGAUCUGACCUAGUCAAAGCUAAGAAAGAUAUUGUAUAAAAAGUGGGGUUCACCCAACAAUAUAAAAUAAGUUAUUUGUAAUUGGGGGUCACCCAAAUUCUUGCGCAAUAAAUGAGUAAGGGCGGCACAGUAGUAAAUAGUGGGGUUACCACUAAACAUACACAGGUGGUUUAUACCACUAAUAAGAUCAAGUGGGGUUCACCACUAAGGUAUUUGGACAGGUGGUUAUGUCCUUUAUUAUAGAACCAGUGUUGGGUCACUUUAAUUACU